rnacentral:rRNA from 1 species
UGAACGCUGGCGGCGUGCCUACUACAUGCAAGUCGAGCGAACGGACGAGAAGCUUGCUUCUCUGAUGUUAGCGGCGGACGGGUGAGUAACACGUGGAUAACCUACCUAUAAGACUGGGAUAACUUCGGGAAACCGGAGCUAAUACCGGAUAAUAUUUUGAACCGCAUGGUUCAAAAGUGAAAGACGGUCUUGCUGUCACUUAUAGAUGGAUCCGCGCUGCAUUAGCUAGUUGGUAAGGUAACGGCUUACCAAGGCAACGAUGCAUAGCCGACCUGAGAGGGUGAUCGGCCACACUGGAACUGAGACACGGUCCAGACUCCUACGGGAGGCAGCAGUAGGGAAUCUUCCGCAAUGGGCGAAAGCCUGACGGAGCAACGCCGCGUGAGUGAUGAAGGUCUUUGGAUCGUAAAACUCUGUUAUUAGGGAAGAACAUAUGUGUAAGUAACUGUGCACAUCUUGACGGUACCUAAUCAGAAAGCCACGGCUAACUACGUG